rnacentral:rRNA from 1 species
ACGGGAGGCAGCAGUGGGGAAUAUUGGACAAUGGGGGCAACCCUGAUCCAGCCAUGCCGCGUGUGUGAUGACGGCCUUAGGGUUGUAAAGCACUUUCAGCAGUGAAGAUAAUGACAUUAACUGCAGAAGAAGCCCCGGCUAACUUCGUGCCAGCAGCCGCGGUAAUACGAAGGGGGCUAGCGUUGUUCGGAAUCACUGGGCGUAAAGCGUACGUAGGCGGACUGAUAAGUUAGGGGUGAAAUCCCAAGGCUCAACCUUGGAACUGCCUUUGAUACUGUCAGUCUUGAGAUCGAGAGAGGUGAGUGGAACUCCGAGUGUAGAGGUGAAAUUCGUAGAUAUUCGGAAGAACACCAGUGGCGAAGGCGGCUCACUGGCUCGAUACUGACGCUGAGGUACGAAAGCGUG